rnacentral:lncRNA from 1 species
GGAUGGGUGACCUUCCGGGAAGUUUUCCCGGAAAGUGUGCGAGUGAGAACAAAGCACACUGGAAAGUCUCGUGGUGAUGUGUGGGGGCAGUCAACAGUCCCUGUAAGUUGCCGGGGCGUUACAAAUGGUAUCAGAACCUAGCCUCUUCCAGUACGGUGUGGUUCGAGGACGAACCAGACGGAAGCUGGUGGGCAUGUGACACCCGGGCACUGACGAGGACGGAGAGUGAUCGCCGAUGCAAGAGGCAUGGUGCAGGGGGCACAGACAAGGAGCGGCUCCUGGUAGGCUUUGAGUGGAAGGGGCACAUGGACGAAUCGAACAUACACC